UUGCUACAUAUCAGGUGCUUUUAUUGUAUUUUUCCUUUUAUCCUCAAAUAUCCCAGGGGUGGAGGUAUUUCUAGCUUAAUUUUCCAGUGAGAAAACUGAGGUUUAGGCACAGUAAGUUCGAUGCCUGAAGUUAGUUAGCUAGAAAGUGACAAAGUCCAGAUUCCAACCAAGGUCUGUGUGCCUCCAAAACUAACACACAUAACCACCACACUGUAGCGUUUGUUACAUUUGUAGAAGAAAGGUGGACUUGAACUAAAGGAAAUCUAAUUCCUGUUCCAUUUGGCAAGGAAAGGGUUUUCUGAAGUCAAUGGCAUUGGAAUUGGAGUUAGAGACUGGAUCUUGGAGAUGGCAAGCCCCUUGCCCAAAGACGUGAAGCUACUAAGGAGAAGAAUCCAUGAUAGAACCCACACGUCUCUAAUCUCAAAGGCAAGCAGUGGUCAUUGUUCCACAUGCUGACCUUGGCCUGGUGUUCUUUCACAAACUUCAACAGUGGAUCGAAACCAGAAAUUGAGAACAUAGGAUGCCUCCAGGUAGAAGUGAGUGACUGAAGAACAAGAAUAGGAGAGAAAUUUCCACGGAUGCUUUAUGUACCUUUCUGAUUUUGGACUGUGUGAAUUUAAUGCCUUUUCAAAAUAAUUAAAGUAUCAAAAUUAAUUUUAAA